rnacentral:tRNA from 1 species
GAGGGUUUAGCUCAGUGGAAGAGCCUGUGCUUAGCAUACAAGAGGUCCUGGGUUCAAUCCCUAGUACCUCCA